GCUUCAUCCUCAUGAUAUCCUUGAAGAUAACUAUUUUUUAUCUUCAAUGUAAAGAUGAGGAAUCUGAAACUUAGAGAUAUGAAAUAUCUUGUCACAGGUCACAUACCUGGUAAGUGGAAGAGCCAGGAUGAUGGUGAUAAAGAUGAUGAUAAUGGUGGUGAUGCACGGUAAAGCCUUAGCAGGCAGAUGUCAGGACCACUAAGAGACUCUACCUUAAAUCUGGCAAAUUUUUUGUUUCCAGGCCUUGAAAAUACACUUCUUACAAGUUUCAUGCAAAUUACUCCCAUGAUCUGACACAUAGCCAGAAAAACAGCCUCAGCAAAAACUUUCUCCUUCCUACCUCCAGGAAGUCCUUGGUUUUUGCUGGCCACAAUCUUAGAGAAACUUCCAGCCAAACAGGCAAAUCUGGCCUCACACCAACAUGACAAAUAUGGUUUCUGUCCAAUGGUGCUGAUGCCACAGAUCCUCUUUGGGGGAUGUGCCUGCCUCACUGUCUCAGAUGCAAAUUCAAGGUUGGAGAGACAAAUGGAGGAACGAGCACAAAACUUCCACCCUACCACUUUCUUGUUAUCAGCCUAUGCAACAUAAUUUCCCCCAAAGAAAGGCGAUAAAAUUUCAAACACCUCCUCUUGACUUCUUCUCCUAGAAAAACUCUCUCACUUCAUUCUUGUCUCUGCCUUCAAAAGAUAGAUCUGCUUUGCCUGGAAGUGCCUUGUGGCUUCACUGCCCAGGCCCUCUCUCCCUCUGCUUCCGGAGUGAGCACAUCGGAAGGCAGUGGAGAGGGGGCUGAGCAUAACAGCUAAGAAUGCAGGCUUCAGACUCGAGCUGCCUGGGAUCAAACCCAGCUCAAACACAUGUUUGUAUGAAAACUUUGGCACUUAGCCUUUUCUCUGCCUUGACUGCUCCAUCUGUAAGAUGGGGAUGAUAAUAAUCUUCUGCUUUAUAGGGCUGAAGAUUAAGUGAGGUAAUGUAUAUAAAACAUCCAGCAGCUGGUCAAUAGGCAUUAGCCACUGUUAGCCACUAGUCGGCUUUAAUUCCCUGAGAGCAGGGACUCCAUUUUUUUUUUUUUUUUUUAUCACAUUGUACCUCUAGUACCUACAAUGGUGCCUGGCACAUAGUAAGCACUUCCAAAAUAUCUGAUCAAUGUUAACUGAAUGUGUGGAAGGAACUUGAGUGCCAAGAGUCCCUGCUGGGAUCCUCCUUUAAGAACAACCCUUCCCUGCCCAAAGUCUGUGUUACAAGUAGAACCCUGAUGUUGGUCAUAAUGUGCCCCCUGGAGCCAGGUGGGUAAAGGUUGAUGAUCAGAGUAAUGUGUGCACCAUCAGUGGCUGGGGGAAAAGAAGGUUUCACGUAACACAAGGGAGAGAAGUUUUAUCUGGGCUCCUUCAGUAUUAUUUUGACUUUCAUUUAUUCUACGUGACUUCUCUGAUGAUGGACAUGAAGAGAUAUUGCCGUGUUGGACUCCCUGACCCCUGUGGUAGAGGUUACACUUGCAUAAACCCUUGGGGACAUACUCUGGGGAGUGAGGCUAUUUUGUGGAGUCCCUUGGCAGGGGCCCUAGACAAGAGAUUCUUUCUUGUUCCAAGCUGUGGCAUGUGACUGUGGUUUUGGAGCUGGAAGAGAAGAAUGAGAUGGAAUAUUACAUGGUAAAUUAACUAGUCAUUUUAGCUAUUAAACAUCUGCCCUCCAAUAAGAGUUAUUAGUGUGGCUUCUGCUGGCUUAUGACACUGAAAGUCCAAAACUCCAGCAUAAUUGAGACUUCAAUGCUGUAAGAUGAUUAGAUUUGCCCAGACAUUUGGAUAUUAUUCCAUUGGUGAUAUGUAAUUAUUUUUAUCUCAGAUUUCUAGGAUAUUGUCCAGGUUUUGUGCUUUAUCUAUCUCUUGGCUGUUAUUACUUUUGCCUAUACUUGGAAGCUUUUAUCAAUUACAGGUGAGCCAAUUAAAGCAGAAACCCUUGGUGUAAGAGCAUAAAACACCAUCACACAGUAUUUGACCUCUGAAAGGCUCUGGGGGAGAGGAAGGUGAAUUAAUCGACACAGACUCACGGCUGGAGUCUGCUAAAGAGCAUGUCAGCAAACCCGCUAAUGCUGCAGCAAAUGAGCUGAUCUACCCAGAUACACUCACUCGUCUGGUCCUCCCCAAAUUCAUCCUGACAAUCUGUUUCUGCAGCUAGUGAUGGAGAUGCAAAUGCUGGCUACUGGGAUUUUCCAGAUUGCUUUCAAUAUUCUAAAUGCCAAACCAUCAGAGUUUUAAAAUUUACUUUUGAUUUGCCAAAUACCACAGCAUCAGGACAUGUAUUCUAGGAUAGAUGUAUGCCAGUUAUAAGACAUUUUUAUGUGCUUUUUUCUUUUCUUUUCUUUUUUCAAGGAAGGUUAGCCCUGAGCUAACAUCUGCUGCCAAUCCUCCUCUUUUUGCUGAGGAAGACUGGCCCUGACCUAACACCCCACCUUCCUCUACUUUACAUGUGGGACUCCUGCCACAGCAUGGCUUGACAAGCGGCAUGUAGGUCCGCACCCAGGAUCCGAACCGGCAAACCCCUGGCUGCUGAAGCGGAAUGUGCGGACUUAACCGCUGUGCCACCAGGCCGGCCCCUUUGUGUGUGCUUUUUUGCCUUCUUGUUUUCUGUGGGUUUCUUGGUGGUAUUCUUUGACAGUUCAGUCCAAGAGGGACAAAGUGCCCUAGAGGAGAAACGGACACAGUCUUAACCAUGGCAUCACCUACAGGCUAUAAACCCCGAGAGUGGACAGCAGUAAUGUAAGUGGUUCCACAGCCUUGCCUUUGGAUAAUCGGGCCUGGCUUUCCAGUUACUUCUUGAACACUUGCAGAUAUGUGAGUGAUGGGUUAUGUUAGGUGGGGGCAACUUUGGAGCCAUCUGCCUAAGAAGAAGAGUGUAAACUCUAGCAAGGCAUAUUUUGUUUCACUCAAAUAAGUAACUAUGCAUUGAUAAUGUAGAGUGUAAAUGUUUCCACAGGAAAAAAUACAGGGGAGGGACACUGGAUAAGUUGGGUUUCGAUUUCACUGCAUAGGACCCAGACUCCAAAAUAACAGUGCCUUACACAGGAGGGAAGUUUGUUUCUCUCUUACAGAAACAAAAGCAGGAGGUAGGCAGGGCAGAAUGUAUAGUAACUCUAUGAAGUCAUUAGGAAACGAACCUCAUCUCUUUCCGGUUCAAGGCUCUACCAUCCCCGGGUUGUGGCCUGUGUCUUUAUGGUCCAACUUGGUGGCUAGAGAACCAGCCAUCAUAUUCAAAUGGAGGAAGAAGAAAGGCAUGUCCCCUCCCUAUAAGAUCACAUCCCAGAAGUUGCAAACCUUUCCAUUUUCAUAUCAUUGGCCAGAGCUUAGCCAAAUGGCCACACCUACCUACAAAAGAUGCUGGGAAAUUUUGUCUUUAUCCCAAGCACCAUAUGCUCAGCUUAAAAAUUAGAAGUUGUGUUACAAAGAAAGAAAGGAGAAAGUGGAUAUUGAGCAGUCUGUGCUAUAAACACUGAUCCCAGCCAUGGACACCAGCAAAGCCCUCCUAAAGGAGGGGAACGUCUGAGCACAGAAUGAAAUGUGAUUAGGGACAUGUCCAGAUGAAAGGGACGUAGGAGAGGAGGAAGGGGAGGGGGCAGCUCAAGUGAGGACAUAACGGAGAGGAUGCUUGACUUGUUGGAGGAACUGAAAGAUGCUCCUUCUGGCUGGAUUAUAGAGUAGAGGCAGGAGAAGUCACUCCCUAUACUAGGCUCAGGCCAGUCCUCACUCUCCAUCGAUGUUCUCAGGGUUCUGGCUCUCUCGUUCGUCUCCUGCUUCAGCUCAUUCUCCAAGUUUAAAGUGAGUGGCAAAUCCCUCCACGGCAGGAAGGGGAAGAGUAGAUAGAACACCAUAUCUAUGUUAAGGAGACCCACUCCUUUUUCCUCAAAAUAGGAGACUUGAAUUUCCUCUUCAACCAAAAUGAAAAACAAAGCAUCUUCAGUGGACUCUUUGGAGAGGCUCCAGAGUGGGUGGGCGGUGGAAAGAGAGCAUCACCAAGUGGCUCUCUUCUGUCUCUCCACACCUGGGAGAUAACUUCUUUCCAUUACUAUGGCAACCGUUAUGGAUAGGGAUCUGUGAACUGGGAGACCAGAGGUCA
ensembl:lncRNA